AUUGAACGCUAGCGGGAUGCUUUACACAUGCAAGUCGAACGAGUGGCGGACGGGUGAGUAAUAUAUCGGAACGUGCCCAGUAGCGGGGGAUAACUCCUAGAAAGAGUGGCUAAUACCGCAUACCAUUCGAUCCGCCCUUAUUGGAGUAGAUCUUGGGUGGGGUAAAGGCUCACCAAGGCAACGAUCCGCAGCUGGGUUGAGAGGACGACCAGCCACACUGGGACUGAGACACGGCCCAGACUCCUACGGGAGGCAGCAGUGGGGAAGUUUGGACAAUGGGGGAAACCCUGAUCCAGCCAGCCCGCGUGUGUGAGAAGGCCUUCGGGUUGUAAAGUACUUUUGGCAGAGAAGCGGUAUCUGCAGAAUAAGCACCGGCUAACUACGUGCCAGCAGCCGCGGUAAUUC
rnacentral:rRNA from 1 species